AAUCCAUAGGUUAAUGAGGCGAACCGGGGGAACUGAAACAUCUAAGUACCCCGAGGAAAAGAAAUCAACCGAGAUUCCCCCAGUAGCGGCGAGCGAACGGGGAGGAGCCCAGAGCCUGAAUCAGCAUGUGUGUUAGUGGAAGCGUCUGGAAAGGCGCGCGAUACAGGGUGACAGCCCCGUACACAAAAGCGCAUGUGCUGUGAGCUCGAUGAGUAGGGCGGGACACGUGGUAUCCUGUCUGAAUAUGGGGGGACCAUCCUCCAAGGCUAAAUACUCCUGACUGACCGAUAGUGAACCAGUACCGUGAGGGAAAGGCGAAAAGAACCCCGGCGAGGGGAGUGAAAAAGAACCUGAAACCGUGUACGUACAAGCAGUGGGAGCACAGGUUUACCUGUGUGACUGCGUACCUUUUGUAUAAUGGGUCAGCGACUUAUAUUCUGUAGCAAGGUUAACCGAAUAGGGGAGCCGGAGGGAAACCGAGUCUUAAUUGGGCGUUAAGUUGCAGGGUAUAGACCCGAAACCCGGUGAUCUAGCCAUGGGCAGGUUGAAGGUUGGGUAACACUAACUGGAGGACCGAACCGACUAAUGUUGAAAAAUUAGCGGAUGACCUGUGGCUGGGGGUGAAAGGCCAAUCAAACCGGGAGAUAGCUGGUUCUCCCCGAAAGCUAUUUAGGUAGCGCCUCGUGAAUUCAUCUCCGGGGGUAGAGCACUGUUUCGGCUAGGGGGCCAUCCCGGCUUACCAACCCGAUGCAAACUGCGAAUACCGGAGAAUGUUAUCACGGGAGACACACGGCGGGUGCUAACGUCCGUCGUGAAGAGGGAAACAACCCAGACCGCCAGCUAAGGUCCCAAAGUCAUGGUUAAGUGGGAAACGAUGUGGGAAGGCCCAGACAGCCAGGAUGUUGGCUUAGAAGCAGCCAUCAUUUAAAGAAAGCGUAAUAGCUCACUGGUCGAGUCGGCCUGCGCGGAAGAUGUAACGGGGCUAAACCAUGCACCGAAGCUGCGGCAGCGAACGUAUCACUUAAAGCGAUUCAGCGGGUUACGAUUGACGGAGCGAAGCGACGUCAAAGCGUAUACAAAGUCGAGUCGGUUUAAGGAUACGUUCGUUGGGUAGGGGAGCGUUCUGUAAGCCUGUGAAGGUGUGUCGUGAGGCAUGCUGGAGGUAUCAGAAGUGCGAAUGCUGACAUAAGUAACGAUAAAGCGGGUGAAAAGCCCGCUCGCCGGAAGACCAAGGGUUCCUGUCCAACGUUAAUCGGGGCAGGGUGAGUCGACCCCUAAGGCGAGGCCGAAAGGCGUAGUCGAUGGGAAACGGGUUAAUAUUCCCGUACUUGGUGUUACUGCGAAGGGGGGACGGAGAAGGCUAUGUUGGCCGGGCGACGGUUGUCCCGGUUUAAGCGUGUAGGUGUGUGUUCCAGGUAAAUCCGGUUCACUUUAACACUGAGGCGUGAUGACGAGGCACUACGGUGCUGAAGCAACAAAUGCCCUGCUUCCAGGAAAAGCCUCUAAGCAUCAGGUAACAUCAAAUCGUACCCCAAACCGACACAGGUGGUCAGGUAGAGAAUACCAAGGCGCUUGAGAGAACUCGGGUGAAGGAACUAGGCAAAAUGGUGCCGUAACU
rnacentral:rRNA from 1 species